rnacentral:rRNA from 1 species
CGGUUAAAAAGCUCGUAGUUGGAUCUCGGCGAACAGGGGGCGGUUCGUUAUUUGACGGUACUGCCCCAUUUGUUCGUAUUUUUGCAAGAGGAUUGGGGGUCCCCUUUGUUGGGUGUCUCCGGUCGCUUGCAGGUUUACUUUGAAAAAAUUAGAGUGCUCAAAGCAGGCUUACACGCUUGAAUAUUCGUGCAUGGAAUAAUAGAAUAGGUAGUCGUUUCUAUUUUGUUGGUUUUCGGAAAAUGACUUAAUGAUUAAUAGGGACAAUCGGGGGCAUUAGUAUUCAAACGACAGAGGUGAAAUUCUUGGACCGUUUGAAGACUAACUACUGCGAAAGCAUUUGCCAAGAGUGUUUUCAUUAAUCAAGAACGAAAGUUAGAGGUUCGAAGGCGAUCAGAUACCGUCCUAGUUCUAACCAUAAACGAUGCCAGCUAGCGAUCUGCGGGUGUGUAAAAACAAGACCCCGCAGGGAGCUUCCGGGAAACCAAAGCUUGUGGGUUCCGGGGGAAGUAUGGUUGCAAAGCUGAAACUUAAAGGAAUUGACGGAAGGGCACCACCAGGAGUGGAGCCUGCGGCUUAAUUUGACUCAACACGGGAAAUCUCACCAGGCCCGGACACCGGAAAGGAUUGACAGAUUGAGAGC